ACUUUAUUAAUUUUUUUGUAAAAUGAUUUUUUGCAUUAUUAUGACUAGAGUUUAAUAAAUAUUUGUUGAAAACUAAAAUCUAGGUCGGAGAUGAAGUUUUCCUCAAAAGCAUUCUAAACUUUACCGAGACUGUAGCAAGAGGAAGGGUCCAGAGCUUGGACCCAAAUGAUCUAGUUGGUCGUAUAGAGAUUGGACCAGAAUGGUGUGAGGUAAACGUUCAAGUACCAAUAAACUUGGUAAGACCAUAUGGUUUAUUUUCUACAAUUCAAGAUUGUAUUGGUGCAUCCAUCGCAUGGCGCUAUCCAUUCAUCUCGGUAGUCCAUGAGGAUUGAGAACGCAUGAUGACUCAAGAUUUUAUGCUUCUAAUUUCUUUAAUUGCUUUUAAUUUCUUUGUUAAAUGUUAAGACUUUAUGUUAGAUAAUGUUAUAACUUAUUUAUGGUUAAUGUUUUUGUUAUGAACAUGCUUAUUUGAAAUA